rnacentral:rRNA from 2 species
UAGUGGCAGACGGGUGAGUAACGCGUGGGAAGCUACCUUGUGGUAGGGGACAACAGUUGGAAACGACUGCUAAUACCCUAUGAGCCCUAUGGGGGAAAGAUUUAUCGCCAUGAGAUGUGCCCGCGUUAGAUUAGCUAGUUGGUAAGGUAAUGGCUUACCAAGGCGACGAUCUAUAGCUGGUCUGAGAGGAUGAUCAGCCACACUGGGACUGAGACACGGCCCAGACUCCUACGGGAGGCAGCAGUGGGGAAUAUUGGACAAUGGGGGCAACCCUGAUCCAGCCAUGCCGCGUGUGUGAUGACGGCCUUAGGGUUGUAAAGCACUUUCAGCAGUGAAGAUAAUGACAUUAACUGCAGAAGAAGCCCCGGCUAACUUCGUGCCAGCAGCCGCGGUAAUACGAAGGGGGCUAGCGUUGUUCGGAAUCACUGGGCGUAAAGAGUACGUAGGCGGACUGAUAAGUUAGGGGUGAAAUCCCAAGGCUCAACCUUGGAACUGCCUUUGAUACUGUCAGUCUUGAGAUCGAGAGAGGUGAGUGGAACUCCGAGUGUAGAGGUGAAAUUCGUAGAUAUUCGGAAGAACACCAGUGGCGAAGGCGGCUCACUGGCUCGAUACUGACGCUGAGGUA